rnacentral:rRNA from 1 species
CCCUUAGAUGUUCUGGGCGGCCCGCGCACUACAUUGGCACUCUCAAUAAGUUCCUAGAUCUAAAACUUUGGGGUAUUCUAUUAAGUGGUGUCGUGACUGGGAUUAACCCUUGCAAUUAUUGGUUACGAACGAGGAAUUCCUUGUAAUCGCGGUUUAUCAGCCCGCGUUGAAUGCGUCCCUGCCCUUUGUACACACCGCCCGUCGCUCCUACCGAUGAAUCGUCCGGUGAAGUUCAUGGAGUGGUGGUUGUUCCAGCUGCUGUCGAAGUGAAAUGGACCUCACGGUUUAGAGGAAGGAGAAGUCGUAACA